UCCCACUGAAAACUGCAUCAGGAUGAUGUUGCCAAUAACUCUGUUUGUCAUGUUGGGUUUUCUGACUCAGGAGUCGUCUGCCAACAAUUUUCUGACUCAGGCUGACAAAUCCAAGUCUGUUAGUCUUGAAGGGACUGUGACCAUCAGCGCCUUAGGGAGUUCAGAUAUUGAUGAUGAUCUCAGUUGGUACCUUCAGAAACCUGGACAGGCUCUUAAACUUCUUAUAUACAGGGCAUCAUCUCUCUUCACUGGAACUCCGUCUCGAUUCAGUGGCAGUAGAUCUGGUUCUCACUACACUUUAACCAUCAGUGGUGUUAAGGCUGAAGAUGCUGGAGAUUACUACUGCCUGGGCUACCAUGGUAGUGGAGUGUUCACACAGUGA